UACACACCGCCCGUCACACCAUGGGAGUUGGUUUCACCCGAAGGUGGUGCGCUAACCCACAAGGGAGGCAGCCAACCACGGUGGGAUCAGCGACUGGGGUG
rnacentral:rRNA from 1 species